GUGGGGAAUUUUGGACAAUGGGCGCAAGCCUGAUCCAGCAAUGCCGCGUGCAGGAAGAAGGCCUUCGGGUUGUAAACUGCUUUUGUACGGAACGAAACGGUCCUGGUUAAUACCCGGGGCUAAUGACGGUACCGUAAGAAUAAGCACCGGCUAACUACGUGCCAGCAGCCGCGGUAAUACGUAGGGUGCAAGCGUUAAUCGGAAUUACUGGGCGUAAAGCGUGCGCAGGCGGUGCUGUAAGACAGGCGUGAAAUCCCCGGGCUCAACCUGGGAAUUGCGCUUGUGACUGCAGUGCUGGAGUACGGCAGAGGGGGAUGGAAUUCCGCGUGUAGCAGUGAAAUGCGUAGAUAUUCGGAGGAACACCGAUGGCGAAGGCAGUCCCCUGGGCCUGUACUGACGCUCAUGCACGAAAGCGUGGGGAGCAAACAGGAUUAGAUACCCUAGUAGUCC
rnacentral:rRNA from 1 species